GGCAGCCCGCCGCGUGGAGCCGGGCGCCGGGCGCGGCGCGCCUCCUCCUUGCCUCGGCGUCCUCCUUCUCCGCUUCCCGGACUCCGUCCCGGGCGCGGAGCUGCCAGACGGGGCCGGGCUGCAGCUGCCGUUCCCUCCGCUGCCUCUGCCGCCGCUGCCGCAGACAGAGGACGCCCCGUGGCGGCUGGAAGCCUGUGCAUUGGGAUAAAAUACACCAAUCACUUCCUGAAGGGCAUGUCUUAUAUCCUCAUUUUUUAUGGAUACCAAAACUCUGCUUCAGAAAGGUUAAAGAAGUUCUCAAGUUUUUGCAGAUGAUCGUAACUAUGCAUGUUGAAUUCAUAUACACAACAUAAACAAGAAAAGACAUAAAUAAGAAAAAAAUUGCCUGUCAUGAAGAUUUCAAGAUAUUUUAAAAAGUGGCUGUGUUUGUUUCUUUAUGAAUACAUUUUAACUCAUUUUACUGUUGAUAUUAAAAAAGUAUUUAAUAUAAACAAAACAAUUGCCUUCAAAGACAUCUAUCUUGAUAUUUUAAAAAAUCUUUCUAGAAAGUUAAAUUACUCUACAUGGAAGCAUCACCAAGUAAAAUUGAAAGAAACCCACUUUUUGAAAUAAUUUACCUCCUCUGCUCAGUUGACUCCUCUCCUUUCCAACCUCAAUCUGAUUUACCUCAGAAGCUAACACAUUUCCAUUUUUACAAAGAAGAGGAGGAAAAGAGAAACCCUUUUCCCAGGAAGGGGGCCAUGGUCUACAUAUUGUGUGCAAUGCUCAUUCUAUACAAUCCACUUGGUAGAAAAGGAGAGACUGGGUAUUUGGUCCCCAACUCGUCCCUGGGAGGACUCAGCAUGCUGGGUCAUCUGGCUUCUCUAUCAGUCAGUGUGAACUCAACCGUCUGCAAGAUGGUUCGUGAUCCAUGCCCAGGCAACACCCUGGCACAGUGUUGCUCAGAUUGUGGUCCUUGAACCACCUGCAUCAGGAUCAUCUGAUAGAGCUUGUGAAAGACAAAGCUUCCUGGCCUGAACCAAAGACUUGCUGAAUCAUACACCUCUGGUCUGGCACCCAGACAUCUUCAUUUAACAGACUAUUCUUAUGCACAUUGGAGUUGGUGAACCUUGGGAUUCUUUACUCUCUAGCUUCUGUGGUGCCUAAGAUCAACCUGCAGGAUGUGGGCCUCCAAGGAUCCAUUCUAGGGCUUCCCUGAGAAGACUGUUCUAGAGCAGUGUGUGCCUGCACAUCAGCACCACCACCAGCAGCACUGUUAAAAGUUGUACGUUCCAGGGUCCCCCUCAGCGAUUCCAACUCACUGGGUAGCUCCUCAGGCCACACCAGUGUACAGCCAGUAUUGGUAAGCUGCGGUUGUAGGAAAACUCCAGGACUCCUCCAUCAAGACAGUCCUCAGGAAAAUUAUGAAGCAGACAGCAUUUGGUGGAUGUCUCCCCACUGCCUUGUGGGUGCCCCCUCCUUCUUCUUGGCACUCUGUCUCUCCCUGUCUCUCCCCUCCUCUAUCUUUUACUGCCUAUACUCAGAUUCCUUUUACUUAUCCCAUUCUUGAUGAGGCUUGUUGAUGGCAUUUAUCCUCUCCCAGAACAUUAGCUUUUAAUGAUCUUAGGUGCCCAAAGGGGGGCGCCUAUAAAGUCCAGAAACAUAAAAUAUUAUUUUGUCUUGUUUUAUAAUAUAAUAUCAAUAAACCAUUUAUUCUAUAUCCAACUAUGUU
ensembl:lncRNA